CUUUAUAGAGGAAAUUAAAAAUCUUGUUCUCCAAUCUGGGAAGUGGAGCUCUUAGUGGCAGUAGCACUACGGAGGACACUCCUAGCUUGAAAUAAAUGGCCUCCCCACGGGAUGAAAGCACCCUCAAAAUCUAAAUGAGAGGGCUAAGCUUCCUGGCGAAUGAAGAGCAUCCCACAUGAGGAUGGCUUAGGAAGAAAAUCCUCCCACUAGAGUAUCAUUGGUAUAGAGUAAAUUAUAGUGAUGGAAUUAAUAUUUUUGUAAUAAACUCUGAUGGUCGUCAAUGUUAUGUAAAAAGGUACUUUUAAUA